rnacentral:tRNA from 1 species
GGGAUUGUAGCUCAGUGGUAGAGCACUCACCUAGCACAUGUGAGGCCCUGGGUUCGAUCCUCAACACCA